CUUUCUUGUUGCCUAAUCUGGCAGAGGUCCCUUUGCACUUGGGACCAUGUUGUGUGAAACUAAGUUCUGACAUCUUCAGAAAGUAGCUGACCUAGAAAGGUACUCUUCACAAUUUCCACAAAGGGUCAGAUGCCUCUGAUGUUUCCUCUCCAAAAAGAAUAGGGGUGAAAAAAAAAUUAAAGCUGUAAUCUACUUGCUGAAACAUGUUACGAAUAUGCCAAACAACGUAGAAACAUUUUAAUGUGCUGACCACCAGAGCAAAGUAUUUUGCUUAGCCACAUGUGAGCUGGGGAUUAAUUCCAGGUAUUGAAUAUUAUUUAAAGGAACAAUCCAAGCAACAUAAUACUGCAGCUCCCUGCAGUGGUUAUGGUGUUGAAGUCCUCUGGUUCAAUUUCAUAUGUCAAACAAUUUUAGCACAGUUUGAUACUUAUCUGGGUUCUGGGGUCGGUCCUCUCAGAGCUGGAGGUACUGGAUGUUCUAUUUAUUCUAUGCAAGAACCUAUUGGACUCAUUAGUUGACUGAGAGAGUUUAGCCAAUAACCAAAUGCCUUCGUUGACAUCUGACCUCUCCUACUUAAGACAUGAAGCAGCCUGGCAGACCCCAGUAAGAAUCAUACACUGCAGAUUAUGCUGGAAUGGCCCCAGGGCACUCCUGACAUCGUACACACUAUAGAUGGCUACAGUAAUUGUGGUGUUUGGAAUAUUCAUAUAAAGGGAAACUAUG